rnacentral:rRNA from 1 species
AUAUUGGACAAUGGGGGCAACCCUGAUCCAGCCAUGCCGCGUGUGUUAAGAAGGUCUUCGGAUUGUAAUGCACUUUAAGUUGGGAGGAAGGGCUUUAGGCUAUUACUCUCAAGUUUUGACGUUACCACCAGAAUAAGCACCGCCGAACUCUGUGCAGGCAGCCGCGGUAAUACAGAGGGUGCAAGCGUUAAUCGGAAUUACUGGGCGUAAAGCGCGCGUAGGUGGUUCAGUAAGAUGGGUGUGAAAUCCCCGGGCUUAACCUGGGAACUGCUUUCAUAACUUCUGAGCUAGAGGACGGUAGAGGGUAGUUGAAUUUCCUGUGUAGCGGUGAAAUGCGUAGAUAUAGGAAGGAACACCAGUGGCGAAGGCGACUACCUGGACUGAUACUGACACUGAGGUGCGAAAGCGUGGGGAGCAAACA